rnacentral:misc_RNA from 1 species
AAAAUAAUCCUACCCUUUGUGAAUUUUGUUUGUUUGAAUAAUUUUUUUUUUUAAAAAAUUAUUGGAGUCUUUCCCUUUAGAGUUUGCUUUUGAGUUUGUAAAAGAAUUCGAAAACAUCUAAAGGGGAUGUCAAUAAUUUUUUUUUGAAAAAAGACAUUUUUUAAAAUUAAACUUUUUGUAUUCAUUUGUCUAAAAAUUAUUUUUAUAAUAUAAAAACAACUUUUGACAAUGGAUCUCUUGGUUCUCGCAACGAUGAAGAACGCAGCAAAAUGCGAUAAGUAGUGUGAAUUGCAGAAUACGUGAAUCAUCGAAUCUUUGAACGCAUAUUGCACUUUUUUAGUUUACUAAAAAGUAUGUCUGUUUGAGUAUCAGUAAAAUAUUCUCAUAAAAAUCAUUGUAUUUUUAUGGUUAUGAGUGUUUUACAACGAUACAAGUUGUUUCACUUUAAAUUUUUUUUUAAUAUUGAAAUUUUUCUAAUUUUAAUAAUUAAAAUUGGAUAAAAUUUUCCCGUCAAAAGGAAUAACCUAAACAAUUUUAAAUGAUUAAUUUUAGCAAAGUUUUCGUAAAAAAGGAAAAUUUUUAUUAAAAUAACUUGAUCUCAAAUCAGAUAAGAGUACCCGCUGAACUUAAGCAUAUCAAUAAGCGGAGGAAAAGAAACUAACAAGGAUUCCCUUAGUAACGGCGAGUGAAGCGGGAAGAGCUCAAAUUUGAAAUCUUCAAGGUUUUACCUUGACGAAUUGUAGUUUAAAGAAGUGUUUUCUGCUGAAGUUUUGGUAAAAGUUCUUUGGAAUAGGACAUCAUAGAGGGUGAGAAUCCCGUAUUUGACCAUUAUUUUCAGCUUUGUGAUACACUUUCAAAGAGUCGGAUUGUUUGGGAAUGCAGUCCAAAAUGGGUGGUAAAUUUCAUCUAAAGCUAAAUAUUGGCGAGAGACCGAUAGCGAACAAGUACCGUGAGGGAAAGAUGAAAAGAACUUUGAAAAGAGAGUUAAACAGUACGUGAAAUUGUCAAAAGGGAAGCGUUUGACAUCAGUGUUGUUUUCUCGAAAAUCAAUUAAAAAUGGCUCGAUUUUGUAUUGCUUGAGACCUUAAAAGCUCACUGUACAUUUUUCGUGUCUUUUUUAAUGCACUUUUCGUUUAACAAGUCAACAUCAGUUUCUUUUGUUGUAAAAGGGUCAUUGGAAGGUGGCUUUCUUCUCGGAGAAAGUGUUUAUAGCCUUUGGCCUCUGCAAUCGGAGAGACUGAGGUCUGCAGCGUAGACUCUUCGGGGUUAGAUACAUUUGUGCUAAGUUAUAGCUUUUUAUAGACAACUUGUUGACUAUAAUUAGUCUUGUAGCUUACUCGCUUAUGCUAUUU